rnacentral:rRNA from 1 species
UACGUAGGGUGCAAGCGUUGUCCGGAAUUAUUGGGCGUAAAGAGCUCGUAGGCGGUUUGUCGCGUCUGCUGUGAAAACCCGAGGCUCAACCUCGGGCCUGCAGUGGGUACGGGCAAACUAGAGUGCGGUAGGGGAGAAUGGAAUUCCUGGUGUAGCGGUGGAAUGCGCAGAUAUCAGGAGGAACACCGAUGGCGAAGGCGGGUCUCUGGGCAGUAACUGACGCUGAGGAGCGAAAGCGUGGGGAGCGAACCGG